rnacentral:rRNA from 1 species
UACGUAGGUGGCAAGCGUUGUCCGGAAUUAUUGGGCGUAAAGAGCGUGUAGGCGGUUAGGUAGGUCCGUUGUGAAAACUCGAGGCUCAACCUCGAGACGCCGAUGGAAACCAUCUGACUAGAGUCCGGAAGAGGAGAGUGGAAUUCCUGGUGUAGCGGUGAAAUGCGCAGAUAUCAGGAAGAACACCCGUGGCUAAGGCGGCUCUCUAGUACGUGACUGACGCUGAGACGCGAAAGCGUGGGGAGCGAACAGG